GAUGAACGCUGGCGGCGUGCCUAAUACAUGCAAGUCGAGCGAACGGACGAGAAGCUUGCUUCUCUGAUGUUAGCGGCGGACGGGUGAGUAACACGUGGAUAACCUACCUAUAAGACUGGGAUAACUUCGGGAAACCGGAGCUAAUACCGGAUAAUAUUUUGAACCGCAUGGUUCAAAAGUGAAAGACGGUCUUGCUGUCACUUAUAGAUGGAUCUGCGCUGCAUUAGCUAGUUGGUAAGGUAACGGCUUACCAAGGCAACGAUGCAUAGCCGACCUGAGAGGGUGAUCGGCCACACUGGAACUGAGACACGGUCCAGACUCCUACGGGUGGCAGCAGUAGGGAAUCUUCCGCAAUGGGCGAAAGCCUGACGGAGCAACGCCGCGUGAGUGAUGAAGGUCUUCGGAUCGUAAAACUCUGUUAUUAGGGAAGAACAUAUGUGUAAGUAACUGUGCACAUCUUGACGGUACCUAAUCAGAAAGCCACGGCUAACUACGU
rnacentral:rRNA from 1 species